CACUCAUGCUUGGAGUCCUGGGCCACCAGAUACGAAGGCUGACUAUCCUGAGACCACCAUGUAGAGCAACCAUGGCCAAUACUCUCGCCUACACUUCUAGCUGAGCCCAGCCUUCGGCUAACCCAGCCCAAGCAGCCCGCAAGGGAGUGAAGGAGCCACCCUGGAAGUGACUCCUCCAGCUCAACCGUCCCAAGCCUCCGCUGUUCAGGUUACCCCAGACUUCAAUGAACCCCCAGCUCAAGCCCCAGACCUCGUAGAACAAGGGGAAGUGUCGCGCUCUUUCUAAAGGCCUGAUCCACAAAACCCGUGAGCUUUACUAAAACAGAUGUCACUUUGUGCCGUUAAGUUGUGUGGUAGUUUGCCGGGUAGCGGUACUAAUCAGAACAUUCCCUAAGCCUCAGUGUGCUCGUCUGUAAAACGGUGCCGUUAAUGGUGCCCGCCUCGUGGAAGUGAAUGUGUGCCGUGCACGUGGCUGUCAUGAUGAUGAUGGUUAUUAUCGUUUUCACCUACACUGUUCCCCUUGGCUGAAGAACAUAUCGGUUACAUAUAUCUGAUGAAGAUCCCCCAAUUAUUUCUUGUGCACACUGUCUGUUCUAAUUAGGGGAAUACAAGGCAUUCAUUAAAAAGAUGAGCCCCACGUUGAGCUAAAAAUACUCUGUCUGCAAGGUGGCGGCAUGUUAGUAGUCCCUUCGAAGGUGCUAAUACGGAGUUGGUAAAUGUAUUUGCGGUGGGGAGGGUGGAACAGUAUCUGGGUGAAUCGGGGACUUCACGUUCUCCCCACGUAGGAGCUUACAAGCUGGCUGGCACAGAGGUGAGAAGAGGCCUCGGGGUCGUAAGGAGGUACACAGGCACAGGCUCACAGGAGCCACUGCAGCGGGCAAAGCGCCCACGGUGGUAACUGACACUCUCAUCAGCGGGCUCCUUGCUCCCUUCCAAGCCUAAAUGCUUCUAUUUUCUCGUGCACAGAUCAAUACGGCUGGCAGGUAAGUGUCUGUGUGCGGCGUCGGGACAGUGAGACCCUAGCGGGUCAGAGGGCCUCGGCCCCUCCUGGGGGCCCGGGGGGCCCAGGCCCGCUGAGCAGGUGUCUGAGAUGCGGGCCAGACCACAUUCGAGCAUCCAGCCAGCCGUCAGCGUACAAAAUCAGAUCUGAUCGAGCCUGCGGAAGAUAAAUGAGCCGGAGUCCCCCAGCCCCAGAUUUGGUCAUCUCUUUAUGAGCUCUGAAGGGCCUAUUAGCAGCUCUGAUGAGUUCUGGGGGAGAUGAAGUGGGCCUCGAACAACGUUAGCUGGCAGAAUCAAAUCACUCCUGAUGCCCCUAGGGAGAAGGACCGGCUGCCUCGCAGACGCCUCGCCCUCCCGUCUGCAGCGCCCAGAAGGUUUAUAUGAACACUCAGUGGGGGGAAAAAAACCGGCUGUCCCCGUCCAGAGUGGCCAGCGGAAGCCAGUCCCCCGGCACCCUCUCCCAGCCCUUGUCCUACUUCAGUCGGCCCUGAAGGUGCUGGUUCACGGGGGGGGGCUCUUCGUGCUGGUCGCCGUGAGCCAUCACCCCUCUCCGGCCGCGGUCAACUGCUGUGUGUAACAGAGACAGCAGGUGCCUCUCAGUGUGGCUGUCGUGACAACCGAAGGGAAUCACGGAAUCACAUACACUCGUGCCGAGGAGACAGAGGUGGGAGGAGACUGCCCUCCCUCUCCUCUUGUCCAGCGUGCAGGCUGGGCCUGAGAAUGCCGUCUGGUGGAGGCCAUCAGCUACCUCGAGGGUCUCAGCAGCUUAUCAAAGAGAAGAAGAAGUGGUUAACCCUAGAUCCCACUGGCGGAUGUAGGGAAACACCUCCCUGAAGAAAGGAAAACUUCAUGCUAAUUAAUACAAGGGUGCCACGCCCCCCACCUCUCGGGUGGGUCACACGAAAUAGACGGAGGAAGACGGACUUACCAGCUGUGGGACCAUGGCCUGCUCACUUCCCCUCUCUGCACCUCAGCUUCUAUUUCUGUAAAAUAGGAACAAGAUAUUUGCUUACUAUUUAUUAUUAAUAACAACGGUAGUGUUUGUGUUGAAAAGCUGCUGUGCAGAAAGUGUGCAACAUACGGGACGGGCAGCUGGCACCCAGUUCGUGCUCCGUAAAUAUCGGUUCCUUUCUCCCUUCUCUUAUUUCUCUGUCUGUGCGAGGUGGACCUGUUUGCUUACAUGCCAUGCUCCGCACUCUUGCUGCCCACUGUGAAUCUGUCCCUUUGACACUUGAGUUUUCACCCGCUGUGGGGUCACCCUGACUCUGGCGGCCUUCUUGCUCGGCAAUCCCACCAGCCCCCUGUGACGCAGACACACGCCCGUCACGUCCUGGGUGUGGCUGUGUGUCUGUCUGUGCCCUACUCAACUGUGAGCUCACUGAUUAAAUAGAGAUUUAUUUAGAAGUC